GCAUUUGCCAAGGAGACGUCCCUUUUAGGGCUUCCUGUUGCAGCUGUCCCAGGAGCUCUCAGUCCUUUGGCUAUUCCUAAUGCUGCUGCGGCAGCUGCUGCCGCUGCCGCUGGCCGAGUGGGCAUGCCUGGAGUCUCAGCUGGUGGCAACACAGUCCUGUUGGUUAGCAAUUUAAAUGAAGAGGUGUUUAUGGCGAUGUGCAGCGCGUGAAGAUUUUGUACAAUAAGAAAGACAGUGCUCUGAUACAAAUGGCCGAUGGGAACCAGUCACAGCUUGCCAUGAAUCAUCUUAAUGGGCAGAAGAUGUAUGGAAAAAUUAUUCGUGUUACUCUCUCUAAACAUCAGACUGUGCAACUACCUCGAGAGGGACUUGAUGAUCAAGGGCUAACAAAAGAUUUUGGGAAUUCACCCCUGCACCGUUUUAAAAAACCGGGAUCCAAAAACUUUCAGAACAUUUUCCCUCCUUCUGCAACCCUUCACCUGUCCAACAUCCCUCCUUCUGUAGCAGAAGAGGAUCUGCGAACUCUGUUUGCCAACACCGGGGGCACUGUGAAAGCAUUUAAGUUUUUUCAAGAUCACAAAAUGGCUCUUCUUCAGAUGGCAACAGUGGAGGAAGCUAUUCAGGCUUUGAUUGAUCUUCAUAAUUAUAACCUUGGUGAAAACCAUCAUCUGAGAGUGUCUUUCUCCAAAUCAACAAUUUAAGGACGGGAGAUGAAGAUGGCGGGCA
rnacentral:lncRNA from 1 species